rnacentral:rRNA from 1 species
UACGUAGGGGGGCUAGCGUUGUCCGGAAUCAUUGGGCGUAAAGAGCGUGUAGGCGGCCCGGUAAGUCCGCUGUGAAAGUCGGGGGCUCAACCCUCGAAAGCCGUGGAUACUGUCGGGCUAGAGUGCGGAAGAGGCGAGUGGAAUUCCUGGUGUAGCGGUGAAAUGCGCAGAUAUCAGGAGGAACACCGAUUGCGAAGGCAGCUCGCUGGGACGUAACUGACGCUGAGACGCGAAAGCGUGGGGAGCAAACAGG